UUUAACUCAGUGGUAGAGUAACGCCAUGGUAAGGUGUAAGUCAUCGGUUCAAAUCCGAUAA
rfam:Beta vulgaris subsp. vulgaris Bvchr9.sca013.con0113.1, whole genome shotgun sequence.